CCAAGAAUCCCCCUAUCUAUUAGCAGAACACCAAAUUGGAAAGAAGAAUAAUAUUAAUGAUCCCAAAUGAUGUGUCAUGAAUAGGAUUGAUUGUAUUCAUCUGAUCAUACUUCCUUCUGCUUAAAAAAAGGUAACCAUAUUCACUUCAGGGUACUGUUAUUCAAGUAACAUUAUACUGAAUGGAUGAGAGAAGUAAUGCCAUAUUCAACAUUUAAAGUGACUGCCCAGGUGAAAAUAAAAGGUUAUGGUCCUUCCAGGAAAAAGUUACUGUUUCUUUAUCCCCCCACCUCCCACCUCCACUGGCGAAACAGAAGCAUUUGUAUUCCAAACAUGGAAGUAACGAGAAAAUUGAAUCUUUUCCUCAAUUUUGUUUU